rnacentral:tRNA from 2 species
GCGCAAUUGGUCUAGCGGCAUGAUUCUCGCUGUAUGUGCGAGAGGCCCCAGGUUCGAAUCCUGGAUUGCGCC